rnacentral:rRNA from 1 species
UACGAAGGGGGCUAGCGUUGCUCGGAAUUACUGGGCGUAAAGCGCACGUAGGCGGCUUUCUAAGUCGGGGGUGAAAUCCUGGAGCUCAACUCCAGAACUGCCUUCGAUACUGGAGAGCUCGAGUCCGGGAGAGGUGAGUGGAACUGCGAGUGUAGAGGUGAAAUUCGUAGAUAUUCGCAAGAACACCAGGUGGCGAAGGCGGGCUC